UACGUAGGGUGCGAGCGUUGUCCGGAAUUACUGGGCGUAAAGAGCUCGUAGGCGGUGUGUCGCGUCGGCCGUGAAAACCUGCAGCUUAACUGUGGGCGUGCGGUCGAUACGGGCAGACUAGAGUUCGGUAGGGGAGACUGGAAUUCCUGGUGUAGCGGUGGAAUGCGCAGGAUAUCAGGAGAACACCGAUGGCGGAAAGGCAGGUCUCUGGGCCAUU
rnacentral:rRNA from 1 species